UGCAAAUACACAAUAGUGUUGUAAAUACACAAUAGUGUUGUGCAACACUAUUCUGUAUUUACAACACUAUUGUGUAUUUGCAACACUAUUGU
rnacentral:pre_miRNA from 1 species